rnacentral:precursor_RNA from 11 species
AUGUGGAAGAGAAAAUUUCCACACCGGGACGGGGAACCACCCUGCGUUCGCCUGUUGUUGGAAUUUUCCAGGUGAACACAGCUGGUGGUAUCUCAGUCCUUGUGAUAUUGGAACCAAUCGACAUGUU